rnacentral:lncRNA from 1 species
UUUAACCAAUGAUUGGGAUGGUCCGGUUGAGUUGUUCCUCUCCUCAAUCGGUGGAGUAGAUCGGGAUUCGUGCCUUGAAAAUGAAAGCAAGACCAGGAUCAAGCACACACUAAAUUUCAAGCUAGCCAUUUAGCCUGUGGUGUUUUGAAAAAUUAGUUGCUUGUGAAGUUUGAAGCUUCGGGUUUUGAUUUAUAUAGGUUAAAUAGUGCUUCGAUCUCCAUUCUUAAUGAAAGUGGGCGGACCUGAAUUUGCACAAUCUAGUGUUUGUCUAGUUAUGUUGUCUGUUUGUUCUUGUCAUGCUCUUAAUGACUGGUCU